rnacentral:RNase_P_RNA from 1 species
AGAGGGUCGGGUGAUCGCGCCCACCGGAACCGCACCGUCAGCAGGUGAAGGCCGGGGUCGAGGAAAGUCCGGACUCCUCAGAGCACGGUGGUUGUUAACGGCAACCCGGGGUGACCCGCGGGCAAGUGCCACAGAGAAUAACCGCCCGGAGACGCCCGGACCUGUGUCCGGAUGCUCUGUCCGGGUAAGGGUGAAAAGGUGCGGUAAGAGCGCACCAGUGUGCCGGGUGACCGGUGCAGCUGGGUAAACCCCACCGGGAGCAAGGUCACGUGGUCGCACCGUAACCCCGUCAGGGGCCGGUGGUGCGACGUGCCCCGACGGCUGCUCGUCGGACAAGGGGCAGGUAGACCGCUGGAGGCGGCCGGUGACGGUCGUCGUAGAUGGAUGAUCACCACCACCCGGGUACCUGAGGGUGCCCCGGGCGGUACAGAAUCCGGCUCACAGACCCCCUCGA